CUAAUACCGGAUAAGACCACGUACCAUAAGGUGCGAGGUUAAAGGCGGGGACCCUUCGGGGCCUGUCACUCGUGGAUGAGCCCGCGUCCCAUCAGCUUGUUGGCAGGGUAACGGCCUACCAAGGCAAAGACGGGUAGCUGGUCUGAGAGGACGAUCAGUCACACUGGCACUGGAACACGGGCCAG
rnacentral:rRNA from 1 species